UAGCCGGCGCUGUGGGGGACAGCAACGAGUCAGGUCCUGACUUUCUUUUGUUCCUACCCCGCCUCAGGUUCCCUUCUUCAGUUCCUACCCUGCCUCUUUUGUUCCUACCAAGCCUAUUUCCUUCGGGGAUGGACUCUGACCUGAAAAUCCCAGCCCAGUGUCUGUGCCCCUGGAAACGAACCCUCAAGGCAUCAGGAACGCACCUGCUGUGGCCCCUGCUGUUUCCUGUGGGACCAUUGAAGACGCUGCACAGCUGAAGAAGCUGCACUUUGCUGCACUGUUUUUACUACAGUUAUGAGGUCCGACCUCAGGUCGAGCUCCCUGGUGAGUCUCCCAAGCAGCACUGCUAGCCAGAGUCUAAGCCACAGCACAGAUGCUGUGAUGCUCAGCUAGAGGACUGUGCUGGCUGGUUUUGUGUGUCAACAUGACACAAGCUGGAGUUAUCAC